GAUGAAGAACGUAGCGAAAUGCGAUACUUGGUGUGAAUUGCAGAAUCCCGUGAACCAUCGAGUCUUUGAACGCAAGUUGCGCCCGAAGCCACUAGGCCGAGGGCACGCCUGCCUGGGCGUCACACGCCGUUGCCCCCCCAUCUACUCCUUCGGGAUUGCGGGGGGGCGGAUGAUGCCCUCCCGUGCGCCUAGCCGCGCGGUUGGCAUAAAUACCAAGUCCUCGGCGACGCACGCCACGACAAUCGGUGGUUGCGAAACCUCGGUUGCCCGUCGUGUGCGUUCGUCGCGCAUCGAGGGCUCGAAAAAAUGCUCGGCUCCGGCUGGGCUUUCAACGCGACCCCAGGUCAGGCGGGGUUACCCGCUGAAUUUAAGCAUAUCAUAAGCGGAGGA
rnacentral:misc_RNA from 1 species